rnacentral:lncRNA from 1 species
AUGGUGAGAAGCCACUCAUAAUCGGUUUGACCCCACGAUCAUUUUAACAUGUUCCGGUUUUCUGAACAAGUUGCCACAUUUUCUCUUGUGCAGGAAACUGAGAGGCACUGGGCAAGUAGUGGAUGGUGAUAGGGGAGUGACCUACACCCACAAGGACAUAGCUGUAUAGGUUGCAGUCUGAGUCGAGAAAGGAGGCGCCUUUAACCACCAUCUAGAAGCAUGAGAAGUAAUCGGUCAACCUUUGCUUACGACCGUUGCUUGGGGUUUAAUAAACCAUGUUUAGGGUGCAUAUGUAAUAUGUUCUGUGACCUUUGUGUUACUCAAUAAGUUUCCAUAUCUUCAUUGUUGGAAGUGAAGGUUAUUUAUUUACCACCAUUUGUAAGUGUUUUUGGUUACGUCUGGUGCUGUUGGCCUCGGCCGCCAAAGGCUCAGAUAUCGCAAGUUAGUCAACAGCAGGUCUGUUCUCCGAAAAUUUGUAUUGUUUCACUUUACUGAUCUCUGAUGCAUUUUGGGAACAAUUUUUAACGUCAAAGAGGAAAAUAGCCAAGUAGAUGAUUUAUCAAUCUGUCGUUUUUACUUUUUAUUUGAAACGGGAAUAGUUUGUUUGGGGGAUAUACUGAUUUGGUACAUGGAAUCUGUUUAUUUUUCUGGUUAUGUAGCUUUGCUGAUCUCCAGAAGCCACCGGGUGAUCUGGACGGGAAGGGGUGUGCUGCUGUUGGACAGAACAGUAUCAUGGCCCUUUAUGACACCUUGUUCAGUCAGGUGAUUGAUUAUUCAUUUAGAUAUAUCCAUAUGAUAUGCAUCUCAUGUUCAGUAGCUGAUGAAGUUUCCCAUGGGGUCUUGUGUGCAGCUGGAUGUGACUUCUGCUCAGAUUCUCGUGACUGAUAAUGAUUUUAGGGAUAAAGAUCUCAGGACUCAACUUCAGCAGACUGUUGACUCGCUGCUCAACCUCAGGGUUGUCCCCAUUUUCAACGAGAAUGAUGCAGUCAGUACCCGGAAAGCCCCAUAUGAGGCAUGCAACCUUUUGCCUUCUUUCUCCAACUUGUUGUGUUACGUUUCUGUGGUUUUUAAUUUACUUUAAUCUGUUUUUAAUUUCACGAUUUGCACCCAACUUGAUAGUCUGACUAGUGAGCACCCUCUACAGGAUUCCUCUGGCAUCUUCUGGGACAAUGACAGCUUGGCUGCCUUGCUUGCAUUGGAGUUGAACGCUGAUCUUCUUGUUCUGCUGAGUGACGUGGACGGUCUUUACAGCGGUCCACCAAGUGAUCCAAAGUCAAAGUUGAUUCAUACAUACAUUAAGGAAGUGCAUCAAGGUGGAAUCACGUUUGGAGACAAGUCUAGGGUGGGAAGAGGCGGAAUGACAGCAAAAGUUAAGGCUGCUGUCAAUGCUGCUAAUGCAGGUGUUCCUGUUAUCAUAACCAGGUAUUCUUCUGUGCUGUAAAAAUACUUUUUCCUUGAUUCCUUCUAUGUUUGCCAGUGUUCUAACAUGUAAGAUAUUAUCUUUAACUGUUUCCCGUUUCUCUCAAUGUGUAAUGAUCUUUUGGUUGGCUAUUUUGAAGCGGAUUUGCUCUCCAGAACAUAAUUAAAGUCCUCCAUGGAGAUGAUAUUGGCACUCUCUUUCACCGGGAUGCUCACUCGUGGGUCAGAACGAAAGAAACGGGAGCCCGUGACAUGGCUGUUGCAGCAAGGGAGUGUUCUAGACGUCUGCAGGUACGGCUGUUUAUAUUGUUAAAAGUUAAAUUUUCUUUUGUUUUAUUUGUAUAAAAAAUAAUCUAGAGAGGGAACCUUCACAACUGUACAGUUCAAAAAUUUACUGGCUUGAUAAUGAGAUGACAUAAUGAAUUAAUGAUCAUGACCUCUUCCGCAGGCACUAUCCUCAGAAGAGAGGAACAAGAUAUUGCUGGAUAUAGCAGAUGCCCUCGAAGCCAAUGAAAAAGUAAUUAAGGUUGAGAAUGAUGCAGACCUUGCUGCUGCUGAGCAGGAAGGACUAGAAAGCUCCUUGUUAGCACGGUUGGCACUGAAGCCCGGGAAGGCAAGAUACCCUGGUGCUGUUGCUCUGUUAUGUCUUUAUUUCUUGUGACUGCUUCGGACAGUGUAACUGCUUUCUGGCUUUAUGACGUAGCAGCACUGCUGGCAAUGAUGAUAUCCAUUUCUAAUCUUGUUUAUGCUAACCUUCCAGAUUACAAGUCUUGCUAAAUCCUUGCGUGUCCUUGCAAACAUGGAAGAUCCAGUCGGCCAUGUAUUGAAGAAAACUGAAGUAAGAAUAUUACAGCUAUUAUUCUGUAUCUUUCUUCUCAUAUUCUGGAAACUUGGGUUCAAUCUGUCCAGGGUUUAUACUCUAGUAACAUAGCUAAUAUAAAUUUACACUGUUGAUGUUACAGCUUGCAGAUGGUCUUGUUUUAGAAAAGACAUCUUCUCCUCUAGGUGUUCUCCUGAUUGUGUUUGAGGCUCGGCCUGAUGCACUAGUGCAGGUGGGUUAAACCAUGGUCAGCAAACUUUGUCCUCCUAAAACCCGAGUCUAGUUGUUUACUAAUGUGUUGUUGUUGUUGUUGUUGUUGUAUUCCUUAUACAGAUAGCUUCAUUGGCUAUACGCAGUGGAAAUGGUCUCUUACUGAAAGGGGGGAAGGAGGCCAAGCGAUCGAAUGCAAUUUUGCAUAAGGUCUAGUUCAAUGUGAUCAUGUUGGAGAAAAUGCAAAUUCUUUUACUUCCUCUGAAGUUUGCUUCUAGAUAUGAAUUGUUUUACAUUUGUGCUGACUACUGAUGCUAUUCCUCCUCUUUUAUUAAUUUGUUCUAAAAUAAUAACAUGUAUAGGUAAUCACUGAUGCUAUUCCAAACAAUGUUGGGAGAAAGCUUAUUGGACUGGUGACCUCAAGAGAAGAAAUUCCUGACCUGCUUAAGGUGGGCAGCUGUUUGAUAUAUAUUCAAACGGAUGUAAAUUCAGACAAUGUCUGCUUAAAAUUUAAAAGGCCUGGACUGACGCUUCUUCUAUUCUUAUCAGCUUGAUGAUGUGAUCGAUCUUGUGAUUCCUAGAGGCAGCAAUAAGCUGGUUUCCACUAUCAAAGCAUCAACCAAAAUCCCUGUUCUGGGUCACGCAGGUUAGAUGAAUGACUAAUAUCAUAUCUCAUUGGCCACAUGUGGUUUUGUGACCUUACCAAACUUGAAAAACACAUUUUUUUCCUGCACAGAUGGAAUUUGUCAUAUAUAUGUCGACAAGUCUGCUAAAAUGGACAUGGCGAAGCGUAUUGUGAUAGAUGCGAAAGUGGAUUAUCCAGCUGCCUGUAAUGCAAUGGUAAUCUUGUCUUUUGUUUCAGUUGGUUCACUUGCUUGUUGCUAUUCCCUGAUAAACAAUGUGAAUUCAAUAUUUAUGUCUUAUCUCUCUUUGGUUUGCUGUGUUUAGGAAACUCUUCUGGUGCAUAAGGAUUUGCUUCCCACUCGUGCUCUAAAUGAGCUAAUAGUUGAUCUUGGAAGUGAAGGUAGGAUCCAAUUUGUCAUGUAAGUAACUAAGGCACAAGUUUACAGACCGGCUAUAAAAUGAGAUGUCUCUAUUUUAGGUGUGAUUGUAUAUGGCGGGCCAAGGGCAAGCAAGGAGCUGAACAUUCCGGAGACAGCAUCGUUCCAUCACGAGUACAACUCCCUGGCAUGCACUAUUGAGAUUGUCGAUGAUGUACAUGCUGCUAUUAAUCACAUACAUGAACAUGGAAGGCAUGAUUGCAAAUCUACUCACUGUGUAAAUUAUGUUGGCAUUGCGAUAUGAGUUUCGUUUCGUGAUGUUGUUUCCUCUUUCUCUGCAGUGCACAUACUGACUGCAUCAUUGCAGAAGACCCUGAAGUAGCAGAGACCUUUUUACGACAAGUUGACAGGUAAAGGACACAUGUUUCAGUUGAGCUGACUUGAGUAUCAAAGUGUAGCUUCAGCCUCAAGUUACUAACAGCACUUAAACUGGUGAUCUUGAUUCUGUUCACAAAUGCAGUGCUGCUGUUUUCCACAAUGCAAGUACAAGAUUCUGCGAUGGAGCAAGAUUUGGACUUGGAGCAGAGGUAACUAAAACUCUUUUGUCAGUCUGUUAAACCACACCAUUACGUAACGUGUUCAAACCUGAAAGAUCCUUAUAACUGGAUUAUGCUUGAUGGGUGAUACAGGUGGGAAUCAGUACAAGUAGAAUCCACGCUCGAGGCCCCGUAGGAGUCGAAGGAUUGUUGACAACCCGAUGGUGAGAAGCCACUCAUAAUCGGUUUAACCACACGAUCAUUUUAACAUGUUCCGGUUUUCUGAACAAGUUGCCACAUUUUCUCUUGUGCAGGAAACUGAGAGGCACUGGGCAAGUAGUGGAUGGUGAUAGGGGAGUGACCUACACCCACAAGGACAUAGCUGUAUAGGUUGCAGUCUGAGUCGAGAAAGGAGGCGCCUUUAACCACCAUCUAGAAGCAUGAGAAGUAAUCGGUCAACCUUUGCUUACGACCGUUGCUUGGGGUUUAAUAAACCAUGUUUAGGGUGCAUAUGUAAUAUGUUCUGUGACCUUUGUGUUACUGAAUAAGUUUCCAUAUCUUCAUUGUUGGAGGUGAAGUUAUUUAUUUGGGGCCUCUUCCGAUCCAUGACUAGUUGAUUUGGAACGUGAAGUGGUGGUCUUCUGAUUGGUCCCAGACCCUAGUUUAGAAAGCUGCUUAUAAUUAUUGUAAACUCCAUUUGUGGUAGGUACAUUUUCUGCCAGACUCCC